CAGGAUGCUUAUCAUUAUAGGCAGAUUAAGAAUAGGCCUGAUUAAGCCCAAAGUGGUAAAGUCGGCCCGUUUAUAUUUUUUUCAAGAUCGGCCCAUUUAUAUCUGGGAUCGCUCGUUUCCCCUUCCCUUGCCGAUAUGUACCGAAGAGACAAACCCUAGCUUCCUCAAACCUUAGAACCCUAGCCGCCAGGGACCUGCUUAGCUCCUGGCUCUUUUUUGUUUCUGGCUCCUUUCGUUGUUAUUUUUGUUGAUUCGUUGUGUUUGAGUUCUUGGCCGCUUUGAGAGGGGUUAAUCCUUGUUGCUUUAGUUUUACUCGCUAGGAGUACAUACUUUUCUUCGUAUUGUUUUCUGGAUCUGAUUGUUUUUGUUAUGGUUAACUCGCACCAUUAGCCCCCUGCGCUGUUGAGCUUUGGAGCAGGGAAAACUGCGGGAAAAGGGUAUCUAUGGGUGCAAAAUCAAUCCAUUGGUUGGACAGGAGCUCUAUACGUCUGGGGAAGCCAGCGAAUCUCCGCAGUAUCACUUCUUCUGUCCACAUCGCAUCACCUUACUGUGUGUUAUUAUAGUUUGUUUUCAUGUCUUUCCUGUCUUCGCAUCAUUUAUUUGAGCAGAUCAUGCUCUUGUAUUUGUUCAGAAGCGAAGUGAGGAGGCGAAAUCAUCUGAAUAUUUUCUACCGUAGAUAAUACCAACAUGGUUUAGGGUUAUCUGAUCGCUUGGUGUUCAAAUCUUUUAGUGUAACUUAUUGUGUUUGCUCACCUGAGUUCUGUUAAAUAUAAUAGCACAGCAAAAUGAGGAAGUCUUACCAUCUGAAAGUCUACUACUGUUUAUAAUGCAUAUAUGGUCUUCAAAGUUCUCUGAUUGCUUGUUCCACGGCUGCAGCUACACCCACUUAUCCAAGUGGCGCCUACCUAGAUUUAUAUAGCCAUUAUUUUUCCUCGUUUUUAUUUUUGGUAAUUACCUUGCAAAUUGCUUCUUGAUGAUGCUCGAGUAAAAAAGAAAUGCAUUUCUAAAGAUGUUUUUGAAGCAAAAUGAGUAGGUCAUAUGAUCUGAUGUAUCCGAUAUUGAUACUUUGUACCUACACCUUACCGAUGCCCAUCUUGGUAUUCUUUCCUUCUUGCUCGAGUCAAAGUUGUAAUGCUUAAUAUAUUUCAAAAGCAAAAUGAGGAGAUUAUAUGAUCUGAAUUAUCAGAUGUUGAUACAUCCGUACAUAGCCUUCAAAGUUCUCUGAUUGCUCAGUGUUGUUAUGCCUACACCCUCUUGUUGAUGUCCAUCUUGUUUUCCUUUCUUCUUGCUCGGACUCAAAAUAAUAGUGUUUUAUGUAGUUGAGAAGCAAAAUGAGGAGAUUAUAUGAUCUGAAGUAUCGGAUGUUGAUACAUGCAUACAUAGCCUUCAAAGUUCUCUGAUUGCUCAUUCUAGUUAUGCCUACACCUGAUGUCCACCUUGGUAUUCUUUUCUUCUUGCUUGGAGUCAAAAUAAUAUUGUUUUAUGUAGUUAAAAAGCAAAAUGAGGAGAUUAUAUAAUCUGAAGUAUCAGAUGUUGAUACAUCCAUACAUAGCCUUCAAAGUUCUCUGAUUGCUUUACUGUACGCAUCUAUGUUGGUAUUUGUUGCUGUGGCUAUAUACUUGUUACAAAAUUGUAAUUGUUUUAGGCACUUGAGAAGCAAAAUGAGGAGGAUAUAUGAUCUGAAGUAUCUCCUGUUGAUACAACCAUACAUGGUCUUCAAAGUUCUCUGAUUGUUUCUCAUGAACCCUUGAGUAACACAUUUUUCAAGUUUUUGUAGAAAAUUUGUUACUGGAAUAUUUCAUGUGUGAUCAACCUACAUCACCAUUGCACUGGGUUUCAAAUGUCUCAACUCCUGAGUGAACUGCUUUGGGUCAUUGCGGAUGAAUGCCCGAAGAGAUCUACUAGUUGUCGGUUAGCGAGGGCUGGUUAGGAUGAUCUUAUGAGCUGGUCAAGACUUGAGACACUGAGGAAGAAGCUCAGCGAUGUAACCUGUUAGUACUUUGAUCUGGUGUUCUCACUGUAGUUUGACUUGUACCAAUUGUGUAAUGUAUGGCCGUAUGGGAACAUACCAGUAUCUGUUGGAGAUAUUGAUUUUGCUCUUUUGUGUUGUGAGUAAACUGUUGUAGUACUUUGAUCUGGUGAUCUCACUGUAGUUUUACUAUUAAA